rnacentral:rRNA from 1 species
GGGCGGGGGGGCCUAUACAUGCAAGUCGAGCGAACAGACAAGGAGCUUGCUCCUUUGACGUUAGCGGCGGACGGGUGAGUAACACGUGGGUAACCUACCUAUAAGACUGGGAUAACUUCGGGAAACCGGAGCUAAUACCGGAUAAUAUUUCGAACCGCAUGGUUCGAUAGUGAAAGAUGGUUUUGCUAUCACUUAUAGAUGGACCCGCGCCGUAUUAGCUAGUUGGUAAGGUAACGGCUUACCAAGGCGACGAUACGUAGCCGACCUGAGAGGGUGAUCGGCCACACUGGAACUGAGACACGGUCCAGACUCCUACGGGAGGCAGCAGUAGGGAAUCUUCCGCAAUGGGCGAAAGCCUGACGGAGCAACGCCGCGUGAGUGAUGAAGGUCUUCGGAUCGUAAAACUCUGUUAUUAGGGAAGAACAUACGUGUAAGUAACUAUGCACGUCUUGACGGUACCUAAUCAGAAAGCCACGGCUAACUACGUGCCAGCAGCCGCGGUAAUACGUAGGUGGCAAGCGUUAUCCGGAAUUAUUGGGCGUAAAGCGCGCGUAGGCGGUUUUUUAAGUCUGAUGUGAAAGCCCACGGCUCAACCGUGGAGGGUCAUUGGAAACUGGAAAACUUGAGUGCAGAAGAGGAAAGUGGAAUUCCAUGUGUAGCGGUGAAAUGCGCAGAGAUAUGGAGGAACACCAGUGGCGAAGGCGACUUUCUGGUCUGUAACUGACGCUGAUGUGCGAAAGCGUGGGGAUCAAACAGGAUUAGAUACCCUGGUAGUCCACGCCGUAAACGAUGAGUGCUAAGUGUUAGGGGGUUUCCGCCCCUUAGUGCUGCAGCUAACGCAUUAAGCACUCCGCCUGGGGAGUACGACCGCAAGGUUGAAACUCAAAGGAAUUGACGGGGACCCGCACAAGCGGUGGAGCAUGGGGGU